ACUCAACAAAGAGUCUUUCAGACACCACACAAUUGGCCACACCCUAAGAGUCAGCCCUAUUUAGGGACCUGCAGCUGGAAGGUGGUUCUGUAUUUGAUCUCCCUGAAGGUGUGUCAAACUACAAAGAAAUGACAUUCUGACUCAGUUGGCUUUGCACUCAAUGGGGAGGAUGUGUUUGAUAAGUUCUUGUUUAUUUAGCUAAUGCUGCAUAAUCCAAUAAAGACCGGGUGCAAAGUACAGCAGAUGUACAAACUUCCUGCCUUUGAGGACAAAUACCAUGGUCUCUCAAUUAUCAAAGAUAAGAAAAUAAAGGUUGCUGAUCUGAGUGUUGAAGUAUCUACAGGGACAAGGAACGAGAACCAUACCAACACUUGGUGUUGCUGAGUACAAGACUAGCUGACUAUAGAGACUAGACUGGCUCAAAAAUGUGACUUGCUGGAAACUUGCCUGAGACAAUAGGAGUCAAUCAUCUUUCAAGUUCAAAGGAGGCCCUGGAACAGAGUCAAUCACAGUGACUCCAGGGUGAAAAUCAGCUAUUUUCUUGUUACUAGACCGUGAGCUCUAAUUAAACUCUGACUUCAGGAGAAAAAUAUAGCUGGUCAAUUCAAUUAAAAAAUGCAUAAAGGUAGCUAUAUCACACUGCAAGAUGUAACCUGCUUGUCUGGAAUUUUCAUUAUUAAUUGGUUGACUUCACAAUUAUAUAGAGAAACAAAACUUCUGAUUUUUAAAAAAUUCCUGAAAGUUCAAAAUACUGGCUUGAGACUGGUUAUAUGCUUUUUAAGCAUUAUAUUUUCAGCAGCUGGUGUGUG
rnacentral:lncRNA from 1 species